rnacentral:lncRNA from 1 species
AUUAAAUUUUCAAAACAAAUUCUAAAUACAUGUAGUAAUGGAAUAUAAUUAUUGAUAAAUUGAAAGAUUUUUGAAGUGUCAUCCUGCAUAUCAUGAAAGAUAAAGAUUCUAGCGACAUCAAUAUGAAACAAGAAGACGACGGGCACUGAUAUAGCAACCUGUUGAUGCAUUUUCAUUGAUUUCCAUUCACUAAUAUUGUAUCAUUAUGAAAGUAAACUAUAACACAGGUCUUCUCUAACAUGACAAGAAAACAAAUGCUGUCAGUGUCAUUUCCAAAUGGUUUCAGAACGGUUUGCGGCAAAUGACAUCAAUCUGGAUAGAAUAUUGUUGGACUCAUGCUUAGACAAUAUUAUCCACAAUGCAACUGGUAAAUUCAACUAGCUGAGUUUAUGUAUGUAUCAUAAUUUACCUACUUUUACUUUUAUUUACUCUUAAUCGCUAAUCAAACAAAAAUAGGGCUUGAUGCUAAACAACUUAAAUCGAACCAACCAGGGCUGCCAUAGUUUAUACAUUGUAAGCUUUUAGAAUUUUUUGUGCUUGAGGGAACUUCAGUUAUGUUCUACUUGGACACCAGUUCAUGGUUUCAAAUUUACUUACUCAUGUAUAAAUUGGUCUUCCAAGGAAUAACCCUCAGUCUCAACAAACCCGUAAUAUUAGGUUUCUAAAAAUAUGGAUGUUGGGGCAGUUUGCAAUAGAUUCUUCAUGCUGGUCAUUCUCCUGACAGCAUCCUGAUUCCAUGAAUGUUGGAAUUCGAGUUCAAACACAACUAUGUGCACCUAAAAUAUAAAACAAAUAAUAUUUUAUACGAAUUUUACAGCAAUGUAAAUAUGCCAGUCUAAAGAAUGUUUUAUUAUUAGAUUCUACCAGGAACUUACUUAAAUGUAUAGAAAAAUAUAGAAAAAAAAAAUCCUAAGGCCUUUAGAACAUAAUGUUUUAAAAUGGGUAAUGUAUGUUUAAAAGAAUUACUGUCAUAAAUGUACAACAAAACGUGCUUGGUCGCUUUUUGAAAAAAAUGACGUAUGUCAUUAUUUAUCUAAACAACACAAAUGUUGGGUUAUUUUGAAAAAGAUUGCAACCACUGAUAUUUUAACUUCAAAACCUGAUAAGUAAUAUUCAUAACAAAGGAAUUCGAAAACAAAAAUUAUGGUUAGAAUUUGACAUUUCAGAGUUUAGAAAUGAUGCACCUAUCAAUUUUGUUCCACAUUUGUGUGUGUUCGGGUUUAACGUCUUUUUCAACAAUUUUUCACUACUGAAACCUCGGUUGAAACACAAAAGUAGAUGACGGAUAUAUCUUUACAUUCAACAGUGACAGACUAAUCGCAUUUAAAGAUAGUUAUUAAAUAAGUAGAAGAACCCAAGCGGUAUGGUAAAUAUUAUAUUUUUUGUUAUGCACCAUAAUUUAUAUUCUGCUAUAAGAUUUGUUAUGCUUGUUCUUAUUUGAACAUGUACUCGAAUUGGGUUUAUUUGUGAGUGUUCUUCCUAUUUUGCCUUCUGAUACUAUAACAUGUGUAACGGAUUCGCCUCGUUGGCAUAACUUUUAGGUAUAACAUUCUGUCUAAGUGCUGCAUUCCUUGAGUUUGUUUACAUCCGUUGGAUCUGUGUAUAUAUAUUUUUCAGGUAUUGUAAUGAUUGUGUGCAUGAAUUGAACAUAACAAUACUGUCUCUUACUUCUAAAUGUGAAAAACAACAAUCAAUACGGAGAACAGCUUUCAUCAGUAGGUAUGGAAAGCUUAAAGCAAUAUGUUUAUGCCUUACAAUUCUCUGUUUUUGAUCAGAAUUGAACAUUUCGCGAAGAAGUGGUUGUGUUUUUGGAAUGAAGUAUUUAGUGUUUAGAAUUUGAAUUAAUUCUCAGUACGAUUUGGAUAUUACAUAGGUGAAGUGAAGGAAUAUGAUUAUUUGUGAUAUUCAAAUCAGACCUCAAUUUUAGUAUACUCUGGAAUAUACGUACAUACAGUGGAUGAAUACAGUUAUUUAUAAGAACGUUUUAUAGUGAUUCAGAUUGGAGGGAUUUAAUUUUUAACAGUGUUAAAUAUACAUAGAUAAAGUGAAUGAUUAUCAUUAUUUAGUGGUAUUCAAAUUGAAAUUUUAAUUAAAAAAAACAGUCUUAAAUACAUAAAUAUAGUGCAAGAAUAUUAUUAUUGGUGAAUAAGUUUCUUCUAAUUGUGUCUAUGUAUUCAAAUCGAAUAUAAUGUUUUAAACCUUUGAGACAGACACAUAUAAGAUGAAGUAAAAUAUUAAUUGAUGAGUACAUUGUGUUCUAAUUUUUAGACAAAAAUACAAUGAAAAAAAACACUAUUUAUCCAUGUAAUAGACUGUAUAUUACAAUUUAAAAUAAUACGAAAUAGAUAUUUUGGGAAGAUAAAAAUAGCAUGUACGGUCAGUUGAAGGUCAGGUUAUUACAAAUUCCAACAAUCUUAUAAUCACCAUAUGUGCUCGGAAAACUUGUUCUUGAAAAAAAUAAAAAGUGUUUCAUUUAAAGUUAUGGGACAGCAAUAGGAAUUUAAUGUCAUUUUUAAGUUUUGAAAAUAUUAUCGUCAUUUCUCUUCCGCCUUCGCUAGACAAGCUUUUAAAUGUACUCGUGUGAUGACAGUACUUUUCCUUUGAACGUAAAAUUCGUAGAGCACGCAUAUUCAUUAAAAAGAUAAAUGUAUCUAUGAAAUACUGUAGAAAUAUUUUUUCUAUGUCGCCAAACUAUUAAGCUUAUACAAACGCUAUUAUAUACUCUGGAGAAGUUACUGACAAUAUAAAAAGGAGCACAUAAUCUGAUUUAUCUUAAUUUAAUUAUUACCAUUUGAAAAAACUAAUCAAGAAAAAUACAUGAAAAUCUUCGACAAUUCCCUUGAAAAAGAAUCAAACAAUUUACAAUUUACAAAUGCCGUAUUUUAGAACGACAAAAAUUAAAUGCUAUUACAAAGAAUUUUGCUCAUUUCUUACGCCUUCCGUCCAUUUAAUAUGGUCUGUUACAGUUGUUUCCUUUACAGCUCAGUAAUGUUAGAGGAUUAUCCUAACCCGCACAUAUAUUUUUUGUAAAAGUAUUGACAGAAUACGGAACAAUUUCAUCAUAACAUUUAAAAAAAGAUAUAGGUUUUUAAUUUCUGACAAGUGUCAAAGAACACUAGCAUAUUGAUUUUACUUAAAGUCCUUGUGUAAUUUUUUGUAUGUUUCCUAAAUAGAUCUAAUUGGUGAACAAAAUCAUUUCCUGUCAUUUCUUGACAAUCGUUUUUAAUUCAAAUCCUGUGAGAAGCUGAGUAUGGCACCAGGUAUUGUAUACGUGCAAAAAUUUUACAGAAAAAAACCUAUGCAGUCAAAAUUCAGAAAUUUGACGAGCAACCAAAAUUUUAGAUAUUUUGAUAAGAUCGAGUUCUAAGAAUAAUAUUGUAUUUUAGUGUACAAAAUAUGAUGCAUCAUUAAAUUUUAUUGAUCAUUUGUAUAAGCAUCUCGGCUAAAAAUACAAAAUUAAAUAUAGAUUACAUUUACAUUUAACAAUAAUAUAUUGAUCUGUUCUGAGAUGUAAGCAUGUGUGAUUAUGAUCAUUAUUCAGGUUAACAUUUUUCUUCGCUUUGAUAUAUUUUUAGUUUUCAGGGCUUUUUUUAGAUUUUUUGUUUGCAAAACAAAUAAGCAAAAAUAAUUAAAUAGUAUUAAUGCAAUGGACAUAACAAGAUACCCCAAAUCCAAAUUUCAGGUAAAGCGUACACUGAACAUAGAUAUUUUCUUAAAAUGUAAGUGCAUUGAAAGGAUGAAUAUAAUACUGCAGAUUAAUUUCUUUUAAUUUCUUGUUAAAAGCAAAAGGUAUUACUUAGUGACAAUGUGUCAGGAGAUUUUGUAAUUUUGCAUGUUCUUAUAAAAGCACUAAUGCGAAAUUAUUUCUUUUCAGAAAAUUAUUUAUCAUUUUUUCUAUCAAAAAUCCCUGAAAAUUCGAUACGAGUUUUAUUAACCCACCUUUGCUUUCAAUUAAUUUGUAUAAAAUAGACCUUAUGAAACUGUAAAAAUUUGAAUAACAACUCCUGAGGUUGUCUGAUAUUAAUACGCGUCAUUUUAAGAAAUUAUAAUGACAGUUUUCACUCACAUUGUGUUACUCUGUUUUAAUGCACCUAAAGCAAAAGAACAUACUCCUUACAAUUAGUGUUAGUAAUUGUCUAUUGUUAUUUGUUGAGAACAUGUUAAACAUCUGAAUAAUGCCCUGGCCCACUGGCUCAAUUAAAAGAAUUAUAUAUAUAUUUCUAACAUUUAUAAUUGCCACAAUAAUUUCAGACAAAUAAUAUUCUUGUGAGUUUAACCAAAUGGAUUGCUGAAUAGAAAAAAGUCAUAACAAAAGGGAAUAUGCAUGGUUUAGACAAAAUCCAAUAAAAAAGCACUUCUUGACAUUUUCCUAAUUUUAGAUCAUUUAUAUACUGACCUUGAUAAUACUUUAAUUUUACCGGAUUUUUUUCCGUAUACUCAUUAAUAUUUUUAUGUCACUAGAAUUUGGUAAGUUUAAAAAAUCAAAAAAGGAUUGGCUAACCGGAAAUAAUAACUCUCUACCAAUGGAUGAAACACAUAUAACUGAAGUUACAAAAGCAAUACAGAAACAAAAUUACAGUAUGCAAUUGACACACAAGAAAAUUUUGAAAAUAUAAAUAAUAUACCUCUUCAAGGAAAACGAUUGAUGUUAAUGAUCAGUUAUUAUUCGAUACUAUGUUUUUGAAUAUCAGAGGAAUAACAAUAAACUAUGCCUCACAUAAGAAAAAUAAAACAGAAUUUAAUAUGGAAAAAAAUUGAGAAAAUUGAAAUGGAAAAAUAUAUAGAUUACGAGUUCUUGGACUAUAAGAGAGCUUGCAGAUUUAAGAAAGAACAAAAUAGACGGAAUAUUCGUUAGAUCAAAUGCCAAAUGGAUACAUGAAGGAGAGAAAACUACAUGUUACUUUUGCAAUCUUGGAAACAGAAACUAUGUUUCAAAACUUAUGAACCCUAAUUUCUGAAAAAAGGUGAUAAUUAAAAAAAACACAUAAUGAAAUUCUUGCUGAAACAAAGCGUCACAAUGAAUGUUUGUACAAAGUGAAAAAAAAAACAGAAGAUAAAUCUUUAAAUGAACAUUUAGCUAAAUUCGAAAUUCCUUAACUAUCAGAAAAAUAUAAGCAAUCCAUUGAGGGGGCUCUGACAAACAAUGAAAUAUUAAAUUCUCUGAAGCAUAUGUCAAAUAACACAAGCUCUGAGAAUGAUGGUGUCACAGUGGACGUUUUUAUCUUUAGGAAAGAUAUUGGUACAUUACAUGUACUAGUAAAUUUUAUGAAUUAUGUAUAUAUAACUGGAGAAUUACAAAUUACCCAGAAGCAAGGAGUCAUAACCUGUAUACCUAUAGAUAUAUACAUAUAAAUAUAUAAAGGCAAACUGAAUAUUGCUUACAAAAUCGCGUCUGCUUCGAUCGCUCUUGGUAUUAAAAAAAUCUUAGUAAAUAUCAUAAAUGAAGACCAAACUUAACUUCUACCAGGCAGAUAUAGCAUCAAUUAUCAGAAUGUUGUAUGACUUGCUUUUAUACAGCAAAAAUGUGCCUGGUUUAUUACUUCUGAUUGACUUUGCGGCUGCGUUCAAAACUGUCUCAUGGACUAAAUUUACCACAGAUUUUUUUGAAAUUAUUGAUCUCAACUAUGAUUAAAAUAAAUAAAGAAAUGAAUUGCAAGUUGGUCAAAAUGAGUUCUAUCUCAAAUUGGCAGGGUAGUUCUUAUAAAAUCCCUUGCUCUUGCAAAAUCAAAAUUAAAUCAUUUGUUUUUUGAGUAAACCAAAUCUACCAAUGGUCAAAAUUAAUACUAUACAGAACCCUUUUUUAACUUUAUGUGGCCACUUUCAACAUCAGAGAUACUUUUUUAAAUAUAUAGGAAUAUGUUGACAGCAGUAAAUGAAUUUUUUAAAGUAAACAAUAUCCAACAUUUGCCAAAGAAAAUCAACUAGUAUAUGCAUAUUCCACAACGUCUGGCAUUAAUUAAUAAAGAUAAAGAAGGAUGUAAAUCAAUCUACAAAGCUUUAUAGAAUGAAUGUAGGACAUUAUCAAAAUUCUUUAAAAAAUGGAAAGGUGAACUAAGAGAUACCGCAGAAGCAGAGUUUUUUUUUUCAAAAAAAUUCGAUCUAUGAUAUGGCUUAUAAAUACACAAAAAAAUCCAAAAUUAACAUGGUUCCAAUUUAGGAUAAACCAUAUAAUCCAGGCAACAAAUUAUUUGCUGGAAAAAAGAAGAUUAUUACUGAAGUCUUUUGCACUUUUUGCCAGAGUGAGCCAGAAUUUUUAUUUCACUUGUUUUAUGACCGUGAAGUAGCUAAACAAUUACGGCUGCAGUUUCAUUUUCAUAACAGUGAAAAUUGGACUUUUUAAAAUAUUUUAUUUGGCAAUACAGAAAUUGAAAGUGCAUUAUACAAACUAAUAUUAUAUUCGAAACAUACACAUUAAAAUAGGUUGAAAAAAUUAUGGCCUGGUCUAGUAAUGUUAAAACUCAAAUUGUUGCUACAUUAUGAUAUAACAAAAAAUAUAAAAAAUAAUAAUAUAUUAUAUAAUAUAUUAAAAUAUGUUGCAGUACAAACUCCAAAAGUGAAAAGUUUGAAAAGUCAUGGGAAGAUUUUAGAAACUUAUUUCCUACAGAAUAUUGCAAUAAAAACAUGAUUUACAUACUGUAUGAGUUUGAUGUGAUUUUAUCUAAAGUUACAAAUCAUUUUUACAACCAUUCCGUAUGGUAGCAGAAAUAGACAAAAAACUUAAGCUUUUAAUUCCCACUCAUCACUACUCUAUAAUUGGGUGCUCCACAAACAAUCUUCAACAAUUCAUAUCUUUCUUUAUUUUGACACCUCACAGUAAGAAUGAUCUACUAAUAGUUUACACUGAAAACCUAUUAUAAGCUUUUUUGCAGCAGACUGGUCUGUGUAAAAAGCAUAGUGUCUUGGUUGUCUCGUUCUUAUUUGUAUGAAUUUUGAUAAAUUUCAACAUCAGACUAGGAGAAAUACAUUAAUUUCUUAUUUAUAUAAAAUAUUAAUAUUUUUCAGCAUGCAUAUUAUGUUAAAAAUAGAAUUAGUAUAAUUAAUGGAAAUAUAUACAACAGGGUAAAAAAGAAAUUCAAACAAGACAAUAUAUAUAUUGAAAUGUAGAGUAAAAUAUUAUUAAUUUCUAAACAUCGGAGUUACCUGUGGUGAGAAAUGAUAGAAAUAAUACAAAAAUCACAAUCAAAACUAAGUAAAAAUAACUGUUUCUUUAUUUUUAGGAAAUUAGUAUACGUUUAGUUGCCAUAUAUACAUGAUUAUUGAAGGGAAAAUGGUAAAUGGUUCUCCGACACCACUCUCCACAAUGACGGGUAUAAUAAAACGGCACCAUCUGUUUCGGAAAUUAAAAGAAAAUAUUCGCGUGGAAUAAAUUAAUAAAUGGAAGAGAAAAAAAGUUAAAUAUAUAUGUAGAAGGUUUUUUCUUAUUUCUAUAUUAAUCUUAGGAUUUAAUAUAAUAUGAGACAACUAAUAUCACUUUCAAUAUCAUGUCUUAAAUAACAAAACUACCGAAUGUCUUACACGAAAUAUUACUAAGUGGGAAUAGUUUAUCUAAGCAUGAUUAAGAAUUAGUAGUAGGAACAGUAUACCAGUUUUAGAAUAAUACAGAAUAAUAACAGUAUACGUUUAUUAAAUAAUAUACAAAAAUAGUAUACACGUAAAAAUACUUAAACUUGCUUGUUGAUGUAUCUAGGGAUUUGAAUUUACCUAAAACAUGUAACAACCCCAACAUGUAAAAUUGGAAACAUGAAUCAGCUGAAAUGUAAAAUGCAUUACACGCAGAAGAAAAUAUCAAUGUACAUAAUAAUUACAUGAAGUAAUUCAGUGCAAUAGCCCUUGAAAAUAUAAUUAAUAUAUCAAUGUCUUCGUGUUACUACGAUGUCAAUGGAAACAAAACUUAUAUAAACUUCAACCUCCGCUCGUCAUUGUUAUUUAUGUAGCGGAGCCUUUUUGUAUCAUUUUGCAUUUCGGAACAUCUAUACAGACAUUUUAGGCGAAAUAUUCUUUAUAUAACUUUGACUUCAAACAGUAUUUUGAUGCGGUUUUUUGCUUUGAAAAUAUGUUUGUUAGCUUGUCAUAAGUAUUACCUCUCCAAAUUUACGUCAUAGAUAGCAUGGUCAGCAUACAACUUAACUUUCAAAAUACAGUAAAAAUGCAUCCAUACAUACAUGCAAAAUGAUCUUAUUCAGUAAAAGGAGCGUUAAUCUUACAAUAAAAUCCCUUUGCCAUUCGUUUGUGUUGAAUGAUUUGUAGAUUGAUAAUGUAAAGUCGUUUUCUAGAUUAUUAUGCAUAGGAAACCUUACACUGGCAAAAGCGCGUGUACAAAAAUUGUUCAGCAUUUCCAAAGGCUUUUUAUUAAAAGAGUAAAGACACCUUUGGCCUUGCUGGGAAGUUAAGGAAAAAUAGUUGAUCUCAUUCUUCAGUCAAACCGUCUAUCAAUUACUUAACGGUGAAAGUUUAAAGGUCUAGAUCUUGGCAGUGGAUCAAGGCAUUUUUGUCGUUUGGGGCUAAUGACUAUCACAGUAUGGUUCUGAUAAACAAGGGUCAUUGUGUAUUGGAAAGUCAGUCUACCUUUCAAUUGUAUCAAUUAAUGAGAAGUGGAAACAUUGUAUUUUAUUUACUAAUUAUGCUAUAACUUAAAAAAUUAUACCUAUUUUUGACAUUUUUUAUGAAAAGAAUAAUAUUUGUUGAUCAAACAAAAUAAUGAAAUAGUAAGAAACGUAUUCAGGAAUAUGUUGCAAAUUUCAUUAUGUUUUUAGGGAAAAAAGCAAUAUUUCAUAUUUUUUACAAGUUCUGCUUGGAGGUGUGUACAUAAUCAAAUUUGAUAUUUUAGAAAAAUUGGUAUUCGCUCAUCUAAAAGUUUUGUUUUAGUGCUUGCGGAAUAUUGUAAAUAUCAUUAAAUUUUGUCUGAAAUUGAAAACCAAAUAUGCAUAUCAGUGUAAAAAGUAAAGCAUGAAAAAAUCAUUUUUCCAUUUUUUUUUUGUACGUUUUCUAUAUAAAUAUAAUGUAAGGGUAACUUCAUCGGUAUGACCUUUUUGCAUUGUGAUUAUGAUAUUAUAAGAUACUGUAAAAAAGUCAACACAAGAACUAAUUGAGUUUUCCCUAUACCCGAGUUGAUUAUCUUUACUUUUAUAAUAUUAUUACUAUAUAUUUUAUUAUUUUUAUUUAUAAUAUUAUAUAAUAAUAAAAAUAAUAAUUAUUAUCUGUGAAAUAAUAAUAAACUGAAUAAAAUGUUGGCACAGUUCUUUACUAGUGAAAUAUUAACAUAUUCAUAUUUAAUAAUUUAGACAGAAAUCUACAAAAAAUGUUGAAGGGAUAAUUUCUUCAACAUAUAAUUUUGGAGGGGGAAAGGGUCCCAAAAUUGGUUACUUUAACUCUAGUCACUGCCUUAAUAAAAACAUCUUAUUUUACUCGUCAGAUCUCUAUUUGCAAAACAAAUGGUUGUCUUACUCGUGGUGUUGGGGUGUGUGGGGGACUUAUUUAGGUGCUUUGAUAGACCCAUUGUGACAAAGUUUUUCUUUAACAGAAUUACAUUUUUGUACAAUAUAUAUUUAUUUGAAGGAAAACCACCUCACACACCUUUGAUUUUCAUAACAUGUAUAUACUGAUAAGAUCAAAACAAGCAGAAGAGGCUUCAAGAGAGGUUGUUCUGUUUGGCACAACAUAAGUUGUCUUAUCAUAUGUCACAUUUAAACUGUAACUGCCAAUGUUUAGUAGAAAAUAUGAAGCUUCUUUUUCAAGACUAUUUUCUUAGACUUUAUUUAAGAUGUGAUUUACAUUCUCAUAAAGGGUCACCAAGAAAUGAAAGCUGAUUUACUUGAAAACAACCAUAUUUUUAUGAAAAUGAUAUACAAUAGUUUAAAUUUGGAAAGCUUUGCUUAUUUCUUUUUAAUGUGAAUCUGCUAUUGUUAAAUUACCAUCACAUAUUGCAAUAAUAUUCGAUAUAAUUUUUUCUUUAACUUUUAGCAAUUAUUUACCAAAUAGGUAUCAGUGCCAUUGUUUUGUACACAUAUUUCCAGUUAAAAAUCAGAACUAAGAACUUAAUGCAAUAUUUUAUGUAUAAAUGUGAAAAAAAUUUAAGGUGUCAAAAGUUCUGGGCUCUUAUGGGGUCA